rnacentral:rRNA from 1 species
CACCGCGGUUAUACGAGAGGCCCUAGUUGAUAACUACCGGCGUAAAGAGUGGUUACGGAAAAAUGUUUAAUAAAGCCGAACACCCCCUCAGCCGUCAUACGCACCUGGGGGCACGAAGACCUACUGCGAAAGCAGCUUUAAUUAUACCCGAACCCACGACAGCUACGAAA